CUUCCUCAAAUAAAUAAAUGGACUGUGCCAAGUGUUGACAAGGAUGUGGAGGAUUGGAGCUCUCAUAUACUGCUGAUAGGAAGGCAAACUAACACAACUGCUUGGGAAAAUACUUUGGCAGUUUCCUAAAAAAAUGUCAAAAAUACACCUACCACGUGACGCAGCCAUCUCACUCUUAGGGACUGACUCAGGAGAAAUGAAAGCACACGUCACAGGGAUGCUCACAGCAGCGGUAUUUGUAAUAGCUGGAGACAACCCAAAUGUCAGUCCACAAGUUCACACAGUGUGUACGUCCCUCCCAUAGAAUGGUACUCACACUGAAGAGGAACGAACACACCACAACAUGGAUGAAACACAAAAUAAUUACCUUCAGUGAAAGAAGCUAGGCAAAAAAGACUACAUACUGUAUGAUUCCACUUACAUAAAAUUCCAGAAAAUGCACACUAAUCUCUGGUGGAAGAAAGAAGACGGGUGGUCCCCUAGGCAUGGAGUCAGAGGAGGGGCUCCCAGGGCGCGGGGAAACUUCGGGGCUGACGGUCAUUAUCUCAAUAGCAGGGAUGGUUCACCACUGUGCAAAUACGCCAAAACUCAUCAAACCGCACACUUUAAAUAUGUGCAGCUCAUUCUAUGUCAGGGAUGGCUCAAUAAAGCUGCUUUAAAAACAUAGUACAAUGGAGAGAAGUACACCAAUAUCUGAACCAAACCCAUCUCUGACUGUGGGAUUAUUAAUGAUGAUCCUUUUCUUCUUUAUCAUUUUCUGAAUUUUCCACAUUGUCCAAAAUGAGCAAGUUAUACUAUCAAAAUCAUAAAAACUACUUUUGUGAGAAAAAAGAAUUAGGUGUACAGAGAAAUUUCAGGAAAAUAGUCUGUACUUACGAACCUUGAGAUCACUGGGUGAAAAAAAUCAGACACGGCACUUUCAGAUGACAAAGGAUUCUCUGUUCUUUCAAAGGCCCUGGUAGGCCGGUCGGGACUGAGAGGGUUUUACAAGUUCCAUGUGAACAAAAAGUCUAAAUCUAAAGCAAUCUUCGGAGAAGGCAACAUAAUAACAAAAUGCCUUGUUUAGCCGGACUGUCCAGCUCAAAUCUCUCUAGUCCAUCAGUGGGAGACAGACGCUGAGAGCAAGGAAAAGGAAGAGACAGUGUGGCAGCCACGAAGGUGAAUUUUCACGUGAUGUCCUGACCCGUCGUUUGUUGAGUUUGCCCAGGAGUAAGAGGAUUAAGGAAUAAUCUAACAUAAUAAGCAGUGACCCGCAUUGCAUAUCGCAUAUCCUCAAAAAGAACACGUCCUGCAAAGUACAAGUCAGGCUACGGAAAAUGCUACUCCACAUCUGACCAAAUACCGUCGUCUCAUUAAUCUGAGUUUCUUUGCUUAGAAACUUUUGCCAAAUAUGUCUGUACUGGGCUGAGGAUUCACUCUGAAUUUUUGUUAAUAGUAAAAGUAAUAACUUUUAAAAAGCUUUCAUGGAACAUAUUUAACCGACUUAGAUAAUAAACUAUUUUUAAAGCCCUCGCUGCAUUUGGAUAUCGAGUUUCAAGGCUUAUCAAGUAAUUUUUUAUGUUCAUUUAUUCAACAAAAAGUCACUUUCAGCAACUGUGCUGGGCCCGAGGCUAUGAAGAAGCAAAUACAACCCACGCCUUCUUGGAGCUCUUCAUCCAAGGACCAGGAAACCUACAAAUGGUUGCCAUACAAGGAGUCAGCAGCUCGGGAGAAUGAAAAAGGAGUCAGAGAAGCCUACAGAGGGAAGAUGAGGAAACAGAGGGUCAGAGGUCAAGCAAUCUGCACGAAGUCAUCCAGCUGCCAGUAUCAAAGCCGCCUUCACUGUCAAGCCCUACAAAUGUCUCUGAUGGCCCUUCAACCAGAUUUUCUUCGGGGCAUUUCCAAAGCUGAAGAUGUGACAAGAAUAUCUGCUCUUUCACUCUGAUUUUUGGACAGUGGGAUGUGCCAUUUCAAUGUCCCUAAACAGACACUGAAAGCAGUAAGAGAAUGGAGCAAGGUGGUGUUGUCUACACUGCCCAGGUGGUCACUGGGCUCCCAACCAAAUCAACUAGCACUCAGCCUGGCUCUUGUGUAAGCAACAGCACCAACAUUGCAGACAGCACAUCAAGCGGGAGCAGGGGAAUGGAGCCAGCGCCUUAUCCUGCAGUCCUGCUCUUACACCUACCAGCCGUGUGACCUCUGACAAACACCUCCACCUCCAUUAGCCUCAGUUUCCUCAUCUGGAGAAUGGGAGGGCCCACCCCGUUUUAAAGCUGCACCAAACAGAUAUGACCACCCCCGCUUUACUUGGUGAGCCCACAAAUCCUGUCCCUUCUGGCAUAGCAGACAAGGGACAUAUUCCCAACCCAACGGCAGAAAAGCUGCCAGCUGAUAAGGAACCACUGAAGUUCCACAGAGAACGUAACCAAGAAGGGGAGAGCCUGUCGCCAGGCCAGUGGUGGGUGGUUGAGGAGAAAGGCCUGGGCAAAUGGCGUGGGAUGGCCACUUGGGCCCAAGCACAAAACAGACCAGCAGAGGAAGCCAGUCAAGAAAAAGAGCUCUGAGGUGAAUGGGUGCUGUGAGGAAGAGGGGAGCAGAGUGAAGACCAUGGCAUGGCUCCCGGACGGCAGGGCAGGAGCCUGGAGGAGCCUCCUUCGGUUCCUCCAACCUGCCUCCUUCGUCUGAGCCAGCCCGAGGAAGCACCCUUUCCUUCCAUCAAAACAACACAAAACAGAAUGUUUCUAGUGCAUAGUAGGUGCCCAGGAAAAGUAAGCACAGUUCUUUUGCUGGACUUGACUGAAGGAGGUAAACACGCUCAAGUGAGCCCCCACGGCCGUAGCUUGGUUUGUGCGGGGUCAUCUUCCUGUCUAUUCCAGAAGCCACGGCUGGACUAACUCUGCGAGAUAUACUGCACAACAAGUGUGCACCUCAUCGUCGCGGCUAAUUACCUCCUGAUCACUUAAGAAUAUUUUCCCAUUAAGCCACAGAGCGGACAGGGAGAAGGGAGUCUCUUCUCUUCCGUGGGGCCUCUGAAGAAUCCCGCAGACGAUGCCACCGACCUGUCUCAUUUCAGGCGCACCUCGGCCACUCAACCUGGGUGAAUUUAAUGGCUCGGGACAGGUCGGGUGAUGAAUGUCCCUGUAAAUCAUUUAUAAUUGCAAGCAUAACAAUUAAAAAUCAGUCUGAAGAGCAAGAUAACGUAACGCUAAUGACAGAGAGCAGUAACUGAAGACAGAGGUCCCCACUCCAAUCAGGCCCAUUUGAUGACGGGCGCCAAGCCUCUGGGGAUUGUUCCGGAAACAAAAGCCUGGGACCAACUUCAGUCUUUAAUGACUUGCCACGAUAAAAGAAAUUAACUGGAUUUUCAUAUUAUAAUUAUAAAACUUAAUAGGGAAUUUUUCUCCUCCAUACUUUUUAUUUUUCUCCUGGUCGAGGAUAAACCAACAUACAGUCUAUUCCCCUCCCAAGGACGACUUUAAAAGGCUGGCAAUGUUCCGGCACAUCAUGUUGAAGGUCCAGCUAAUAAAGCACGUCCGGGAAGGGGAGCUGCCAGUGCUGUAACAGACAGUUUCUAGAGCUUUGAGAAAUUAGAAGUCUCUACCAUAUGUUCAAUGUCUAUAUAAUACCAUAGUCCGCCAAGUCAGUCAGAGUCGAGAACGGGUGAGCAUUAAAACAUAAAUCUCUUCCCUUGGGAUGCUUUCAAACCACGAAUUGAGUUCUCUCUCUCCUUGCCUCUUCGCCUGGUGGGUACCUAUCAUAUUCCCAAGUCUCCCUCAGGUGAGACUUCUUCCAGGAAGCCUUCCCUGACCACCACCCCUUGUCCCCUUUUCCCAGAACUGCCCCACCCUGAAGCCUCCACACUCUUUCUUCCAGGUUUCCUCUGAACCUUGUACACAAACUAAUUCCAGACUUGCUGCACGGCAUUGUGACACACAACAGUAAGAUCCUUGCAUUCUCUCCUACAAAACCCAAGUUCUCUGAGGGGAGACCACCAGGGAACCAUGAGUGACGGGCCCUCUGAACACCUGACACGCUGCAGGCUCUCGGUAAAUACUUGUCAGUGACUGAGAUUUACCUUAACUCUGGGUAACUGAGGAUAAACAAGUGAGAGAAAAGUCAAGAAAACACCAAGCCUUUAGCACUGAAGAAUAAAAAACACAAAGAGAGAAAAGGGAAAAAAGGUGUUUUGUCCAGCAGGUCAGCUUCUUCAGGUAGACAUGCGUGUGCGCACACACAUACACACAAAUUCUCACUCUUGACAACAAGAAAAAACCAUGGGUUAUUUUCUGUGGAGCUUUUACAUAUCUCCAAGAGCCCUUGAUAAAAUUCCAGUCUUUUCCUGAGCAGCUGGGGUGAUGCUGCUCCAUAUAAUUUCCUCUCCACAUGUGUUAAUAUAGUCAUAUUUCAGGCGAAUGAGUACGAAUUUUUUAGUUGCAAGCAAAAGAAACCGACUUCAAUCAACUUAAGGGGAAAAACCAGGUCCAGGUGUAUUUUGUUUUUAGGACUCAGAAAUAUCUCACCAAAGCCGAGGGCAGGAACAUGGCAGGGCAUCGGGAAGGAAGGAACUGAGGCCUGGAAGUUGUCCUGUCCACAGGGUCCCCUCUCUCUCCCCUGGGUCCCAUUCCCUCGUCUCUCCCACCCUCUGGAGCAGCUUGGUGGUGUCAGCAUCACCUGGAGGACCUGCUAAGUGCAGACUGCUGGUCUCCCCUCCAGAGUUUCCAGAUCCACGGGUCUGCGGUGGGGCCUGAGAAUCUGCAUUUCUCGCCAGUUCUCCGGCGCUGCUGCUGGUCUGGGCACUGACUCUAAGAACCACCGCUCCACACCAGUUACGGUACAGGGCAGGACGACGGCCACCAGAGCUGCUGGGUUUGCAGGUCACAGCUCCAGCCACCAGGAAGACUCACCCGGGUCCCUCUGCCAACCUGUCGGGAGACGGAACUGAUGGCCCCAUUGGAUUAAGACAUCCACCCUGGGCCCUCAGCUAUGGCCAGACACACAGCUGACUAUGGGCAUGUCAUGUGGUCCCAGGGAGGAGGAGCUGGGCAGACAACGAUGCGGAACGGCCAGGAGAUGUGAGGGAGUCCUGCAUUCUCACUGGGCUGGUGGGAGCCGGGUGCCUUAUCAUAGCAAAAGCUCAGGACUUGGGAAACCCAUGCUCAGCUCAAACAGAACUCAGAGUUACUCCCAUCUCUGCGAACCGCAGCCCCCAUCAAGUGUUGAGAGGCAGGAAGGGAGCGGGACUUGCUUCAGGCUGGGAGACUCCAGCAGAGGGUGGAAGAGCUUGGUCCGGUGCAGUGGCUCUUAACCAGGGAACACUCUGCCCCCCAGGGACACUGGUAAUUUCUGGAGACAGUUUUGGUUCUCACAACCUAGGUGGGUCAGGGCGGUGAGGGGCUUCUGGCAGCUAGUGCGGAGAGGCCAGAGAUGCUGCUAAACAUCCUAUAAGGCACAGGACAGCCCUCACAGCAAAGAAUACCUGGCUCAAAAUGUCAAGAGUGCCAAGGUUGAGAAAUCCUGGUCUAGAACCUACAAGAUCCUUAAGAAAGAUUGCAGUCUCCUCCUGCACAGCGGGGGCAAGAGUGCUCCACAGGGCUGAGGCCCAGUCCCAGCUGCGGAGCUGGGGUCCGGCACUGCUGCUUGCUGUGUGCCACACCUCUGUGCCUCAGUUUCCACAUUCAUAAAUGGGAUAAUAGGGGUGUUGGAGGGAAUUCAAUGAGUCAAUAGCUGUAAAUAAUUUAGCCCAGUGCCUCGCACACAGUAAGUACUCAAUAUAUGAUGGUUCUAUAUCAAUAUUAAUACAUAAUUAUUAUUUAUUUGUGAACGGAAAUGUGGAGGAACUCCUCCAGGCCUCUGUGAUUUGGGGUGGAUACCUCAACCACUUCAGGAAGCUUUACAAGGGUAGGGAAAAAGGCUGGAAAGGAGUGAUGUUCAGCAAGAUGGUGACAUAGGUGGUCUCCGACUUCAGUCCUCCUUAGAAGAAGACCAACUAUCCACAGACAAGACACAGCUUGAAAGUCCCAGAACCAGGCGGUGAGACUGGAGCACCCCCUGCACACAGAGACCUCGUUAGAAGGUGCAGCACAGCACUGAGAGGCCUCCCUGAGCCUGCAGUUUCUCCAGUGGGAAAAAGAGGACCCAAGGUGGACAUCCAACUCCCCCAGCACUGGGAGACACUUCCCAGGAAGCCCAUGCAGGUCUGACCUCGCAGGGACCAUGAGGGAAGUCUGCAGGCUUGACCACUGGGGAUCAGACAGAGAUGGAGGAGGUGGGCGGGGCCUACAGCAACAGCGCUCAGAUCUCGCGGACUGCUUUCCGGCUUGCAGGGGUGCCCGAGCACAGAUCCCAGCCACUGGCUCAGCCCGUCUACAGAGCCAAACCAGUGGCCCCAUCUGGCUAGAAAACUCAGGCGGCAGUUCUGCCUGAUUUGGGACCUCAGCCAAGGAGCCACACUGACUGUGGAGCCCAUUCUCCAGCCCCACCCACGCAGGGAAGAAAAUUCCCAGCCCCGUCUAAGUGCUGAGCACAGCCUCCAGUCUGGUCCCACCAGGAAGCCUGGCCAGAGAGGCUGGACAGCUGCAGAGCAAUCCUACAGCCCCGUUUGUGCAGGGAACCAAGCCAGAAGCCCUGCUGAACUGUUAAGUACAGCCUCUGGCCCCACAUAACCAGGCAGCCUGAACGGUGACCCUGGACAGCCUUAGAGCCAGCCUACAGCCUGGCCCAAUUGCUGAAGAUAGACUGUGGCCACACUCAAGCAGAGAGCCCAGCUGGUGACCCUGCCCAAUUGUGGAGAACAGUCUCUAGCCCCAUUUAACCACAGGAUACAGCUGGAAACCCCAUCUGACCAGAGAGCCUUGCCAGAAAUCUUGCCCAAUAGUGGAGCACAGCCAGCAGCCCCAUCCAACUUCGGGGCAUAGCCCACAGCCCUGCUUCAUCACAGAACAUAGCCUGAGAAUGCGCUCACCCACAAAGCCCUGCCUGUGGCCCCAUGGACACAUGAAGUCCAGCCAGCAGCACCACCCAGGCAGGAAGUACAGCCUGAGACCCCAUCUGACCAGGAGAGAUUGUGGAGCUCGGCCCACAGCCUUGCUCAAUCUUGGGGUCCAACCAGUGACACCAUCCUGGCUGGGAACACAGCCUGAGAACUGACCCAACCAGAGGUGAUUGCAAAGCCUUGCUAGUGGCCCUACCUGACUGUGAAGCACAGUCAUCAGCCCCACCCAAUCAGGGAGACCACCCAAAAGCCCUGGUUGAAAGCAGAGCCCAGCCAGCAGACCACCACCCAAGUGCAGAGCCCACCCAGUGGCACCCUCCUCUGACUUCAGAGCACAGACAGUGGCCUCACCCAACUAGAGACCCGGAUAGCAAGCCCUGCCUGCUCAUGGGUGCUACCAGCUGAGCCAUCCAGCACACCAAGCUGAGCUGACUGGUGAAGGUCUUUCCCUGAUGAAGAGAACCUUGAAAGUCUGCAAGAGGAGAUCCCUUAAGCAAAUGUGCAGAAACCAAUGCCAGGAAUCAAAGAAAAUGAAAAAUCAGGUAAACUUUACACCUCCAAAGGAAACUACUAGAGCUCCAAAAACAGACCCUAAAGAAAUGGAGAACUAUGAACUAUCUGACAAAGAAUUCAGAAUAAUCUCUUGAAUUCAGUGAACUAGAAGAACGUAGACGGACAGACAAACAAAAUUAGGAAAGCAAUGCAUGAACAAAAAGUUCAACAAAGAAAUAGAAACCACAAAAAAAAAAAACCCCACAGAAAUUCUAGAGCUGAAGAAAACAAUGACUAAACUGAAGAAUAUGAUAGAGAGACUCAACAUCAAACUUGAUCAAGCAGAAGAAAGAAUCAGCAAACCAGAAGAUAGGCCAUGUGAAAUUAUCCACUGAGAGGAGCAAAGAGACAAAAGAAUGAAAAAGAAUGAAGAAAGUCUAUAGGAUUUACAGGACAGCAUCAAAUGAAACAAUAUGGGAGUUGCAGAGGGGGAGAAUGAAAAAGAAACAGAAAGUAUAUUCAAAGCAAUAAUGGCUGAAAACUUCCAAAACUUGGGAAGAGAAAUGGACAUCCAGAUUCGUGAGGCCUAAGCAACACCAAAUAGGUUAAACUCAAAAAGAGCUACACAGAGACCUGUUAUAAUUAAAUUGCCAAAAGUCAAAGACAAGGAGAGAAUUUUGAAAACAGUGAGUGAAGAGCAACUCAUGACAUAUAAAGGAGCCCCCAUUAGACUAUGACAGUUGUCUCAACAGGAACUCUGCAGACCAGGAGAAAGUGGGAUGACAUAUUCAAAAUACUAAAAGCCAUCAAUCAAGAAUACUAUACACAGCAAAGUUGUCCUUCAGAAAUGAAGGAGGGAUAAGGACUUUUCUGAACAAACAAAAGCUGAGGGACUUCAUCACUACUAGGCCUGCCUUACAAGAAACACUAAUGAGUGUUCUUCAAGCUGAAGUAAAAGGAUGCUAAUUAACAUCAUAACACAUAUGACUGUGUAAAACUCAUUGGUAAUAGUAAAUAUAUAGUCAAAAGUCAGAUUCUCUAAUAUCAUAAUGGUGGUGCAUCAUUUAUUUACAAUUAUUCUUUAAAAGUUAAGAAAACAAAUGUAUUUUAAAAACCAUAUUAAACAUAUUAAAAACAACAACUACAAUAAAUUGUUAUUGGAUACACAGUAUAAAAAAGAUGUAAAUGUAACAUCAAUAACCUAAAAUAUGAGGAAGGAAGAAGUAAAAGUACAAAGUUUCUGUAUGCUAUUGAAGUUAAGUUGUUAUCAGCUUAAAAUAGGAUGUUAUAAAUAUAAUUUAUGUAAGCCCCAUUAUGACAAAGAGAUCAAAGCAUACUACCACAAAACAAGCAUAAAAUCACAAAGGAAGACAGGAAGAGAGAAAGCAAGGAACAAAAGACCUACAAAGCAGUCAGAAAACAACUAACAAAAUGGCAAUAGUAUGUUCUUGCCUAUCGAUAAUUACUUUAAAGGUAACUGGAUUAAAUUCUCUAAUCAAAAACAUGAAAUGGCUGACUGGGUAAAAAAGCACAAAAGACCCAAUGAUACGCUGCCCACAAGAGACUCACUUUAGCUUUAAGGAAACACACAAACUGAGAGUGAAGGGGUGGAAAGAGAGAGUUCAAGCAAACGGUGACCAAAAGAAAGCAGGGGGAGCUGUACUUUAGUCAGAUGAAAUGGACUUUAAGCUAAAAAUGGUGAAUCUAUCUAUCUAUCUGUCAAGAGUAUAUAACAAUUGUAAAUAUUUAUGCACCCAACAUCAGAGCACCUAAAUAUAUAAAGCAAAUACUAGCAGAACUAAAAGGAGAGAUAAACAGCAAUAUGAUAAUAGUUGAGGACUUGAAUAGCCCACUCUCAACAAUGGAUUCAUCGUCCACACAGAGAAUCCACAAGGAAACAGCAGAUUUCAACAACAUUGUAGACCAAAUGGAUCUAACAACAUAUACAGAAUGUUCCAUCUAAUGGCAGCUGAAUACACAUUCUUCUCAAGCAUGCAUGGAACAUUUUCUAGGACAGAUCAUAUAUUAGGCCACAAAACAAGUCUCAACAAACUUAAGAAGAUAAAAACUAUAUCAAAUGUCUUUUUAUGACCACAAAUAUAGUAUGAAAUGGUGUGAAACUAGAAGUCAAUAACAGGAGGAAAGUGAGAAAAUUCACAAAUACAUGGAAAUUAAACAACAUGCUCCUGAACAAUUAAUGGAUCAAAAAGGAAAUUAA